UAGGGAAUCUUCCACAAUGGACGCAAGUCUGAUGGAGCAACGCCGCGUGAGUGAAGAAGGUUUUCGGAUCGUAAAGCUCUGUUGUUGGUGAAGAAGGAUAGAGGCAGUAACUGGUCUUUAUUUGACGGUAAUCAACCAGAAAGUCACGGCUAACUACGUGCCAGCAGCCGCGGUAAUACGUAGGUGGCAAGCGUUGUCCGGAUUUAUUGAGCGUAAAGCGAGCGCAGGCGGAAUGAUAAGUCUGAUGUGAAAGCCCACGGCUCAACCGUGGAACUGCAUCGGAAACUGUCAUUCUUGAGUGCAGAAGAGGAGAGUGGAACUCCAUGUGUAGCGGUGGAAUGCGUAGAUAUAUGGAAGAACACCAGUGGCGAAGGCGGCUCUCUGGUCUGCAACUGACGCUGAGGCUCGAAAGCAUGGGUAGCGAACAGGAUUAGAUACCCUGGUAGUCCAUGCCGUAAACGAUGAGCGCUAGGUGUUGGGGGACUUUCCGGUUCUCAGUGCCGCAGCAAACGCAUUAAGCGCUCCGCCUGGGGAGUACGACCGCAAGGUUGAAAC
rnacentral:rRNA from 1 species